UACGGAGGGGACUAGCGUUGUUCGGAAUUACUGGGCGUAAAGCGCACGUAGGCGGAUUUGUAAGUCAGGGUGAAAUCCCGGGGCUCAACCUCGGAACUGCCUUUGAUACUGCAAAUCUCGAGUCCGGAAGAGGUGAGUGGAAUUCCUAGUGUAGAGGUGAAAUUCGUAGAUAUUAGGAAGAACACCAGUGGCGAAGGCGGCUCACUGGUCCGGUACUGACGCUGAGGUGCGAAAGCGUGGGGAGCAAACAGG
rnacentral:rRNA from 1 species